UAACAAUAAUGAAUGGAAACGCAGAAGAGCCAAGAAAGUCCAUCGCUGGAGUGGGUGUGCGGUCGGACAAAAUGAUUUCAUCCCACCAAGGAUCAGUUUCUACAGAUUGCAAAUCUAGUGAAAACAACCAGGGAAAAAUAUAAUGUACUUUUUUACUUUGGCGGUAAAGUUCUGAUUUUUCUGUUAAGAGUUUAAUGUGAUUAAGGCAUUACUCGAUUUUUGUGAGGAUAACAUACUUUAUCUCUAAAACAAUAUGGGGCCGAUGCAGCUACUUUUUCUAACUUAGAGAUGAACACAUGGAUGGAGAGGAAAUCACCUCGGAUCGGAAUUACGCAGUAGUGUAUUUGUUGGGGGAAUUUUAAAUCACACGGGGACACUGAGUCAGAGAGAAAACUGUAUUUUUUCCCCACAAAGGAUAUAUAUUUUCGUGAAAAUGGGGAAUAUCGAGAGUGUGGACGGUCACUCAGAAAUUAAACCUCAUAUAAUGCCGUUAAAAGUUCCCAUGCCGGACCCUACGGAGCUCGAGGAGAGGUUCGCUUUAGUUUUGAACUCCAUGAACCUUCCCCCUGAUAAAGCACGUCUCCUACGCCAGUAUGACAACGAGAAGAAGUGGGACCUCAUCUGUGAUCAGGAACGCUUUCAGGUGAAAAACCCCCCCCACACUUACAUCCAGAAGCUACGGAGCUAUUUAGACCCAGGGGUCACACGGAAGAAAUUUCGCCGGCGAGUUCAAGAAUCCACAAAAGUUCUGCGAGAGCUGGAGAUAUCGCUGAGGACCAAUCAUAUUGGGUGGGUUCGAGAGUUCCUCAACGAUGACAAUCAAGGCUUGGAUAUCCUGGUGAAGUAUCUUUCAUUCGCUCAGUGUGCCGUCAUGUUGGAUUUUGAGGGGCUUGAGGUCGGGGACGAGGGCUCCCUGGACAAGGCUAAGUCCUGGAGCAGGUCUAUUGAAGAUCUGCAUCAGAACGGCAUCCAGCCAUUCUGCAACACGCUGUCUCGCUCCGCGCGCCAGUCGGUGCUCCGCUACAAUACGAUAAGUAACAGCAAAACCAUCAAGAACUCCAGGCUGGUCAGCCAGAAAGACGACGUGCAUGUGUGCAUCAUGUGCUUGCGAGCGGUGAUGAACUACCAGUAUGGCUUCAAUAUGGUGAUGUCUCACCCCCAUGCAGUGAAUGAAAUUGCACUUAGCUUGAACAAUAAGAACUUCAGGACGAAGGCCCUGGUUCUGGAGUUACUCGCCGCUGUAUGUUUAGUUAGAGGUGGUCAUGAAAUCAUUCUGUCAGCAUUUGACAACUUCAAAGAGGUGUGCAAAGAGAAGCAUCGCUUUGAGAAGCUAAUGGAGUAUUUCCGCAGUGAAGAUGGAAACAUUGACUUCAUGGUUGCUUGCAUGCAGUUCAUCAACAUUGUUGUUCAUUCAGUGGAAGAUAUGAACUUCCGUGUCCACCUACAGUAUGAGUUCACCAAGCUGGGUCUUGAUGACUUCUUGGAGAAGUGCAAACACACAGAAAGCGACAAGCUGUCAGUGCAGAUCCAGGCCUACCUAGAUAACGUGUUUGACGUAGGGGGACUCCUGGAAGAUGCGGAAACCAAGAACGUGGCCCUGGAGAAGGUGGAGGAGUUGGAGGAUCAGCUAUCACACAUGACUGAACGGCUGCUGGACGUGGAGAAUGAAACGAUGAUGAAAGUAGCUGAGCUGGAGAAGUCGCUCCUUCAAAAAGACAAAGACCUCGUUGCCAUAAGGGAGACCUUUGAGUCGACCAACUCCCAGGUGCAUACGCUGCGGAGGAUGAUCCAGGAGAAGGACGCGGCCUUCCAGCGGCACCGCCUCGUGGAGAAGCGGCUGCAGGAGCUGGAGCAGCAGGGCUCCAUCCGGCUGUGCAAGCAGGCUGAUGGAGACAUCUCCAUUGAGGCCCUGUCUGUGGGUGUGGCUGGAGAGACGCUGGGAAUCAUCAGCCCACUGCCUGCAGGCCCGGUGGGCCCUGGAGCUCCAGGGGAAAUCCCCUCCACCACGGUUGAGCCCGUUGUGCCACCACCUCCACCCCCACCCCCGCCCCCGCCCCCACUGCCCUCUGCUCAAGGUGAUUGUGUACUUGUGCCACCUCCACCGCCUCUAGCCCCGCCUCUGCCUGGCACGUCUCCAACUGUCAUCCUCAGCACCGGCCUAUCAGCCAUAAGAAUCAAAAAGCCCAUAAAGACAAAGUUUCGCCUGCCUGUGUUCAACUGGACGGCUCUGAAACCCACACAGAUCAACGGCACUGUAUUCAAUGAGAUUGACGACGAGAGAGUUCUAGAGGAGCUGGAUCUAGACAAGUUUGAGGAACUCUUCAAAACCAAAGCUCAGGGUCCAGUAAUGGACCUGUCCUGCCCCAAGAACAAAGUUUCCCAAAAGAUCGUCAACAAGGUUACCUUGCUAGAUGCCAACCGUUCUAAGAAUUUGGCCAUCACGUUACGCAAGGCUGCAAAGAGCACAGAGGAGAUCUGCAAAGCUAUCCAGAUGUAUGACCUGAAGGCCCUGCCAGUGGACUUUAUAGAAUGCCUGAUGCGAUUCCUGCCCACGGAUGCAGAGGGCAAACUUCUGCGUCAGUAUGAGCGAGAGCGCCGUCCAGUGGAGCAGCUGGCUGAAGAGGACCGCUUCAUGUUACACUUUAGCAAAAUUGAAAGGCUCACGCAAAGAAUGACGAUCAUCACCUUUGUGGGCAACUUCAUUGAUAACGUCAAUAUGCUGACUCCGCAACUGAAUGCAAUUAUUGCUGCAUCUGCCUCGGUGAAAUCAUCGCCCAAACUGAAGAGAAUGCUGGAGAUUAUUUUAGCUUUGGGAAAUUAUAUGAAUAGCAGCAAAAGAGGCUCAGUUUACGGGUUCAAGCUUCAAAGCCUGGAUCUGUUGCUGGACACCAAGUCUACAGACAGGAAGCUGACGCUGCUGCACUACAUUGCACUCAUUGUGAAGGACAAGUACCCGGAUCUGGCCAACUUCUUCAACGAAUUGCACUUCGUCGACAAGGCAGCAGCUGUAUCGCUGGAGAAUGUCCUGCUGGAUGUGCGAGAGCUGUGCAAGGGUAUGGAGCUCAUCCGUAGGGAGUGCAGCCUGCAUGAUCACGUGGUGCUCAAGGACUUCCUGCAGACAUAUGAGCCACAGCUCGACAAACUGCAGAAGGAUUCCAAGACGGCAGAGGAAGCGUACAACAGUGUGGUUCAUUACUUUGGAGAGAGUGCCAAGACGACCCCACCCUCAGUCUUCUUUCCUGUGUUUGUGCGUUUCGUCAAGGCGUACAAGGAAGCUGUGGAGGAGAAUGAGCAGAGGAAGAAGCAGGAGGCGGCCAUGAGGGAGAAGCUACUGGCUCAGGAGGCCAAGCAGCAGAACCCGAAGGUACAGGCACAGAAGAAGAGGCAGCAGCAGCAGGAGAUGAUCGCAGAGCUGCGCAGACGGCAGGCUAAGGACCACCGGCCUGUGUAUGAGGGCAAGGAUGGCACCAUAGAGGACAUUAUCACAGCAUUGAAGAGCGUGCCCUUCACGGCCCGUACUGCCAAGCGGAGUUCCCGCUUCUUCUGUGACACCAACCUCUACGAUGAGUCCAACUGCUAGCCCCUUACCCCCACGCUGCCCCCUGCUCACACACAGUCCAGCCAAACUGAAGGUUGACCUCCGUACAUUUGCCCCUCUAAAGUGCGGAUCUCCGAAACCAGCCCUUCCUGCGUGCUGACGCAGUGAUCCGCUGCGGGUGGAAGCGACUGUAACCCCAGCCCCCGCCCAUCCUCCCCUCCAGUGACCCUGCCUCCCCUCCCGGCUGCCACACCCCUGUCCAUGUGUCUACAUUCCCUGUCCCCACUGACUUGAGACAAGUACAACACUGGGGGUGUGAAUUGAGUAGCGAUAUUCAAUAAUGUAUAUUCAUGUCUAUUUCAAUAUGGACGAUGCUCUGGAAGCAAAGGCACAGCUAGAGAUUUUGGGCCCCAUGAACGCAUAUCAUUCUCUCAGUCCAGACCACUAUGUCCCAAUUAUCUUCCAAGUUUUAUGGGGCUACUGGAAUUGUCCUAACUUCCCCCCCCCCUUUACGGCAUCCCUCACUAGGAGGGGGAGCUGGCACAUGGCCUUAUGGGUAAUGGCUGCUGCAUCUCCAGCUAUUCCUACACAUGGACACAGUUCUUUCAGACCGAGGAGCCCAUGGAUUGUUUUAUAAAAAAAUAAGCUGGCGACCCCAAGUGUCUGGAGAACGCGUGAUGUAUAGUGUGCACCAAUAUGACCUUAUUUUCAUAACCUGAGCAUACUAUGUGAUCAAGCAAGAAGUCAGCCUGCAAAAUAUUGUUUAACUACCAUAAGAAGUGUAGUCUUAGCCAGACAAUAGCAGACUGCAGUGCUGAUGAUGCUGUGUGUGUGCGUGUGUACAGAUGCACAUACAGACAUGCUAGACAAACCAAAAACAAAAGUGCCUUUUUGUUAUGACAGUAUUAUAUCUUUAUUCUUUUAUUUGUAUUUUUAAAGCUUUUUUAAAAAAGGUUUUUAUGCGUUUUUGUAUACAUUUGCCUUAAAUUUUAAGUACUGUAAAAAGAAUCUUGCAACAUUUUGGUUUUAAUUUAAACUGCAGCUUUGACUAGACAAAAUAUGCAUUUCAGUGUUGUAUCUAAUUGUGAUUGUGUAAGGCUUUACAGAUAGCACUGAAGUCAAGAUAUAUGUAUAUAUAUUUCUGUUAACCUAGACAAAUUUUAAAGAGAAUUUCACCUCUUGAAAUGUUCUGAAGACUCAAGAUGAUUGGCAGACAUUUAGAGUAAUUAUUACUAAGCACUAACAGCACUGGAUUGGCUUGACUGGUGUUUGUUCUUGUAUUUAAUUUCCCCUCCAGUAGCUUAAAGGGGUGAACUGACAAGUGGAAGAAAGACGUGUUGUUUAGUACAUUAUCAUAAGGUGAAUUAGGAUACCACUACUAUCCAGCAGCUCUGCAUUUUCCUAGGAUUGUUUAAGAAUUUGGUCACCUGUCCUGCAAAAAGUGACCAUUUCAUGGUUUUUUCAUUUGUCUUCAAACUGUACAUCUUGUGUUUAUAUCAAGCUGAAUUUUGUACUUUUAUAUCAAGCUGUUGAUGGCAAUAAGGCGCAUCUGAGAAACUGAAUGGAGGUUUUCAGAAUGGUCCAGUACAUUAGUGUACAGUCAGUACAGUUGUUACAGUGCCAUCAGUCCUGUACAGCCACUGCAGCCCAGGUGUUGCAGUACAGAGCAACUGGCUAGUACAGAUUCUCCUUGGUUAGAAAAUGAACCAGAAAAACGUGAUAUUUUCACAUAUCACAUAUGUGUGCAUUUUUAAUAAGCAGUGUGCCUGUGAUUUCUACAAGGCUGUGCUGGCAAUCCUGUAUAAGUUAUUGCACAUUUAGUAAGAAGAUACAGUAAUUGCAAAAUAAAUAUUAAACUAUAAUCAGGCACCCAGAUGUUUUGGAGAUUCAGAUCAAUUAAUAUCCAUCCCAACUGAUCUUUAAGGUCAUGUUACCAGUGAUGUCUGCAGCGGAAAAUGGCUCAUUAGAUCCCAGUAUACCAGUAACGGUUAGUACACUAAUUAAACAUAAACUAAUGCACACUACUCCUUGCAUUCUAUGCAUUUUCUUCAAAUCAAUAUGGUCAGAGACAAGUGUAAUAAUUGGAAACCAUAAGAGAUAAUGUCAUGGAAAGAGAACUUUGUCUCUACUUUUAAUAAAUUCAGAAAUACUGA